rnacentral:rRNA from 1 species
UACGUAGGGUGCAAGCGUUGUCCGGAAUUAUUGGGCGUAAAGAGUUCGUAGGCGGUCUGUCGCGUCGGAUGUGAAAAUCCAGGGCUCAACCCUGGACCUGCAUUCGAUACGGGCAGACUAGAGUUCGGUAGGGGAGACUGGAAUUCCUGGUGUAGCGGUGAAAUGCGCAGAUAUCAGGAGGAACACCGGUGGCGAAGGCGGGUCUCUGGGCCGAAACUGACGCUGAGGAGCGAAAGCGUGGGGAGCAAACAGG